GAUGAACGCUAGCGGGAGGCCUAACACAUGCAAGCCGAGCGGUAUUGUUUCUUCGGAAAUGAGAGAGCGGCGUACGGGUGCGUAACACGUGUGCAACCUGCCUUUAUCUGGGGGAUAGCCUUUCGAAAGGAAGAUUAAUACUCCAUAAUAUAUUGAACGGCAUCGUUUAAUAUUGAAAGCUCCGGCGGAUAGAGAUGGGCACGCGCAAGAUUAGCUAGUUGGUGAGGUAACGGCUCACCAAGGCGAUGAUCUUUAGGGGGCCUGAGAGGGUGAUCCCCCACACUGGUACUGAGACACGGACCAGACUCCUACGGGAGGCAGCAGUGAGGAAUAUUGGUCAAUGGGUGCAAGCCUGAACCAGCCAUCCCGUGUGAAGGACGACUGCCCUAUGGGUUGUAAACUUCUUUUGGAUAGGGAUAAACCUACCCUCGAGAGGGUAGCUGAAGGUACUAGACGAAUAAGCACCGGCUAACUCCGUG
rnacentral:rRNA from 1 species